rnacentral:rRNA from 2 species
CUAAGAAUAUUCCGCAAUGGACGGAAGUCUGACGGAGCGACGCCGCGUGGAUGACGAAGGCCGAAAGGUUGUAAAGUUCUUUUGCUGGGGAAGAAUAACCGCAGGAGGGAAUGCCUGUGGGAUGACAAGAACCGGCGAAUAAGCCCCGGCCAACUACGUGCCAGCAGCCGCGGUAACACGUAGGGGGCGAGCGUUGUUCGGAAUUACUGGGCGUAAAGGGCAUGUAGGCGGCUUGGAAAGCCUGGCGUGAAAGUCUGCAGCUUAACUGCAGGGGUGCGCUGGGAACUGCUGAGCUUGAGUGACGGAGAGGGAGCUGGAAUUCCUGGUGUAGGGGUGAAAUCUGUAGAUAUCAGGAAGAACACCGAUGGCGAAGGCAAGCUCCUGGCCGAUGACUGACGCUGAGGUGCGAAAGUGUGGGGAUCAAACAGG